UUUUUUUUUUUUACUAGACAUGCCCCUACUCGCGGUAUAGCGAGUAGGGGCACAAUUUACUAAUACUAAGUAAUUUUUACUUAGUAUUAGUAAAUUUGGCUGAAAGACCAAUUUAGGUCUUUCAGCCUUUUGGUAGAUAACUCCUUAAUACCGUGGGAAUUAGGGAGUUAUGUACCAAGCGGCUGCAAGAAAAGUCCCGAAAUGCCGAAGUUGCGGAAGUUCCGAAGUUGCCGAAGUGUCUAAGAUCCGAAGUGCCGAAGUUGACGAAGUUCCGAAUUUCGGAAUGCUGAACUGAGCCGAAUAUUUUCCCCAUGCACAUGCCUAGAUAAUAUGGCACUAGUCUCUUUGUUUCUUGUGCUUUCUUGCAGGCAUAUUUCUACUACCCUAUUGAUCCUUAUGUAUGUAUUAUUUCAAGUAAACACUUAAAAAAACUGAAUCCCACUUUCCCUCUUCAUGAAGACUUAAUUAAGGAGGAAUGGAGGUACACCGAGAAAAGGGUCUCAGUUCAGAGUUGGAUGUCCAAGCUUUACUCUUUUAAGUCUGACGACAGUGUCCAAAGGGAUUUGGCUCCUAAAGUGGAUGCAGUGAUUGUACGUAUGACGAAAAAGACCACCCUGCAGUAACUAGUGCUGGAACCUUAAGAGAUCCUAUGGAUAAACGAGUGGACUCCAAUUUAUCAAAAGCCUAUAUUGCAUCUGGCUCUAUCCAGAUGAGGCUAUGACAUCAGUAUCAAGAGCCUUAAAACAGUGGUUGGACAACCUUGAGGAAGAUAACUUGAGUGGGGUCAGUAGGUCCAGAAUUCUGGAUUCCUUGUACAAAUUCAGAUUGGCAAUUGAAUUCUCAUCUGAUUCUUCAAUAGAUCUGUUCGGCCCAUCUCAAGAAGCAUGGUCCUCUCUGUAGCAUCAAGACGUGCUAUUUGGCUACGAAAUUGGAUGGCAGAUUCUUCUUCGUUAAAUAACUUUUGUGCCCUUUAAUUUCAAGGGGAUAUGUUCUUUGGGAAACACUUAGAUGAGUGCAUAAAGAGAGCAGUUGAAGGAUGUAAAGCCUUUCUUCCCCAAGAUCCCAAGCGGUCCUUUCCUCAGGAUAGAUGGUCCUUUUAUGACAAAUAUUUCAGGCGUUACAAACUUGAUAGAGAAUUCUCCAGAACAGAGACACUAAAGGGAGGUCUCUCCUCUUCUAGAGGUAAUUGUGGGAGAGGAGGAUUAUCAAGACAAGCCAAACUACUCUGAUGGGGCUACAGUCAGUCCUUGGGGGUAGAAGCAAGACUUCUGAUUUUUUCCAAGGUCCAGGAUCAGUUCAUCUCAGACAGGUGGCUGUUGAGAAUUCUCCAAAAUAGCUAUUUUCAGGAAUUAACAACUAUUCCUAAUCCGCGAUAUCUCCCAACCUGUAUUCUUCAAGACCCAGAGAAGGCAAGAGCUCUCCACGCGUUUACUUUAUCCCUCCUAUCAGAAGUGGUAAUCUGCCCGGUUCCUCCAAGAGAAAGAGGAUUAGGGUAUUAUUUGAGACUGUUCCUCACACUAAGAGGAGAACAGAAUCCAAUCUUAGAUAUGUAUGAGCUCAUGAGCCAUUAUUUUUUAAGUAGAUUCAAGAUGGAAUUAGUCAGUUGCAUUAUAAAAUAAAGACUUUACUUAGAUCAGGAAAACCGUCUACUACUUCAGCAUUCUAUCGGAUAUAGGGUAUUUUCUGUGACUAGUAUUUCCUUCAUGAUGCUCCUCAAUCCCCGAACAUUAGCAACAUGCUGUAGUUCCUAAGAGUCCAGAUAUCCGCUCUCCCCAUUCUAUUGGAUAGAAAGCUUGUCUCAGAUCCUGACAUUAGCAGGUUUUUUGAAAUAAUAUUAAAACUUUGUCCUCCGGUUGGGAACAGCACUAUUUAA